AACGAACGCUGGCGGCGCGUCUUAAGCAUGCAAGUCGAACGGCAAGAGAGGAGCUUGCUUCUCUCCUAGAGUGGCGGACUGGUGAGGAACACGUGGGUAAUCUACCCUUAAGAUGGGGAUAGCUGCUAGAAAUAGCAGGUAAUACCGAAUACACUCGGCAUAUCACAAGAGGUGUUGAGGAAAGGAAGCUACGGCUUCGCUUGAGGAUGAGCUUGCGUCCCAUUAGCUAGUUGGUGAGGUAAAGGCCCACCAAGGCGACGAUGGGUAUCCGGCCUGAGAGGGUGAACGGACACAUUGGGACUGAGAUACGGCCCAAACUCCUACGGGAGGCAGCAGCUAAGAAUAUUCCGCAAUGGACGGAAGUCUGACGGAGCGACGCCGCGUGGAUGAAGAAGGCUGAAAAGUUGUAAAAUCCUUUUGUUGAUGAAGAAUAAGGGUGAGAGGGAAUGCUCAUCUGAUGACGGUAAUCGACGAAUAAGCCCCGGCGAAUUACGU
rnacentral:rRNA from 1 species